rnacentral:rRNA from 1 species
UAGCCGUAAACGAUACUCGCUAGGUGUCGGCCACGGUGCGACCGUUGUCGGUGCCGUAGGGAAGCCGUGAAGCGAGCCACCUGGGAAGUACGGCCGCAAGGCUGAAACUUAAAGGAAUUGGCGGGGGAGCACCACAACGGGUGGAGCUUGCGGUUUAAUUGGAUUCAACGCCGGAAAUCUUACCGGGACCGACAGCAACAUGAAGGCCAAGCUGAAGACUUUGCCGGAUUAGCUGAGAGGUGGUGCAUGGCGUAGU